UACGUAGGGUCCGAGCGUUGUCCGGAAUUAUUGGGCGUAAAGAGCUCGUAGGCGGUUUGUCGCGUCUGCUGUGAAAUCUGGAGGCUCAACCUCCGGCCUGCAGUGGGUACGGGCAGACUAGAGUGCGGUAGGGGAGAAUGGAAUUCCUGGUGUAGCGGUGGAAUGCGCAGAUAUCAGGAGGAACACCGAUGGCGAAGGCAGUUCUCUGGGCCGGUACUGACGCUGAGGAGCGAAAGCGUGGGGAGCGAACAGG
rnacentral:rRNA from 1 species